rnacentral:rRNA from 1 species
UACGUAGGGACCGAGCGUUGUCCGGAAUCAUUGGGCGUAAAGAGCGUGUAGGCGGCCACUUAAGUCCUGCGUGAAAUCUUGCGGCUCAACCGCAAGCGGUCGUGGGAAACUGGGUGGCUAGAGUGCGGGAGAGGAGAGUGGAAUUCCUGGUGUAGCGGUGGAAUGCGCAGAUAUCAGGAAGAACACCGAUGGCGAAGGCAGGUCUCUGGGCCAUAACUGACGCUGAGAAGCGAAAGCAUGGGGAGCGAACAGG